rnacentral:lncRNA from 1 species
UUGCUACCAAACAACAUGAGUGUCCUCCAGCCCAUGGAGCAGGGCAUCAUCAAGAACCUGAAAGUGUUCUACCGAUCACGCCUGCUACAUCGCAUGGUGCUGUGCACCGACAGUGGCAAACGUUACAGUGUGGACUUGUUGUCAGCUGUUCACAUUCUUGCUGAUGCCUGGA